UACGUAGGGUGCGAGCGUUGUCCGGAAUUAUUGGGCGUAAAGGGCUCGUAGGCGGUCUGUCGCGUCGGUAGUGAAAACUCAGGGCUUAACCCUGAGCCUGCUUCCGAUACGGGCAGACUAGAGGUAUGCAGGGGAGAACGGAAUUCCUGGUGUAGCGGUGAAAUGCGCAGAUAUCAGGAGGAACACCGGUGGCGAAGGCGGUUCUCUGGGCAGUACCUGACGCUGAGGAGCGAAAGUGUGGGGAGCGAACAGG
rnacentral:rRNA from 1 species